AGGAGUUCGAUGAUCACAAAUGGAAGAUGGAUAUUUGAUACUGAUCUGAUUAACUUUAGUCUGAGCGAAAGUUGUUGAAAAAUAUAUCCUAAAAUCAAUCAUCUAGAUUGUAGAUGAUUGCGCUCCAUGUAUGUAUAUAAAUUAUAAAUUGAUAAAUAUUAUUUGACAGAUUCAUCAUAAGAAAUACAUCUUCCUAAAUAAAACUCAUGUGUUAUGAUG
rnacentral:lncRNA from 1 species